rnacentral:rRNA from 1 species
UACGGGGGGAGCAAGCGUUGUUCGGAUUUACUGGGCGUAAAGGGUGCGUAGGUGGCGCUGUAAGUCGGGUGUGAAAUUUCGGAGCUUAACUCCGAAACUGCAUUCGAUACUGCGGUGCUUGAGGACUGGAGAGGAGACUGGAAUUCAUGGUGUAGCAGUGAAAUGCGUAGAGAUCAUGAGGAAGACCAGUGGCGAAGGCGGGUCUCUGGACAGUUCCUGACACUGAGACACGAAGGCCAGGGGAGCAAACGGG